rnacentral:rRNA from 1 species
GACGUAGGGUCCGAGCGUUGUCCGGAGUUACUGGGCGUAAAGCGCGCGCAGGCGGCGGUGUUGGCCCGGCGUGAAAGCCCCCGGCUCAACCGGGGAGAGUCGUCGGGGACCGCACCGCUUGAGGGCGGUAGGGGCUGGUGGAAUGCCUGGUGUAGUGGUGAAAUGCGUAGAGAUCAGGCAGAACACCUGGGGCGAAGGCGGCCAGCUGGGCCGUCCCUGACGCUGAGGCGCGAAGGCGUGGGGAGCGAACGGG